rnacentral:rRNA from 1 species
UACAGGGGGUGCAAACGUUGCUCGGAAUCAUUGGGCGUAAAGCGCACGUAGGCGGUUCGUUAUGUCGGAUGUGAAAGCCCUUGGCUUAACCGAGGAAGUGCAUCCGAAACUGGCGAGCUAGAGUACGAAAGAGGAUCGCGGAAUUCCCGGUGUAGAGGUGAAAUUCGUAGAUAUCGGGAGGAACACCGGUGGCGAAGGCGGCGAUCUGGGUGCGAUACUGACGCUGAGGUGCGAAAGCGUGGGGAGCAACAGG